CCCCAGGUCCUCAGGACGAAAGCUCACGAAUCCCGUCAGGACCCCGCAGGUAGCAGCGGUAAGUGCGGUGAUCGUUGCUGGGUUCAACCUGGGGUAC
rnacentral:SRP_RNA from 1 species